rnacentral:misc_RNA from 1 species
GAGAAUCACAUAUUUCUUCCCAAUGUACUCAGAAAGUUUAACCUUGAUAAAUUCCUGAUCAAAAACUGCCUCUGCCUCAAAAUCUGGUGCUACAUUUCCAACCAAUGGAAGUUCACUAGAAGCCCGGACAGCAAAGCUGCGUCUGGAGCGAGCUCCACGGGGGGAGGAGAAUGAACGAGGAGCUGAAGGCUGGAAGGAUUUGCGAAGACCGACGAAAGAUUUGGGAAGAGCUAGGGUUCGGGAGAAGGGGGCGGAAGCAAUGGGAGCACUGGACUUGGCGGGAAAGGAGGAAGGAUUGGAGGAGAGAAGGGCGGUGGAGGCGGCGGAGCAAGCCAUGCGGGAGGAGGAAGAAGGGGGAAAUGGGCAGCACAAAGUGAGGCUAAGGCGGAGAAAUGGAUAAGCGAAGUAAAGAGAAGGAAGCGCUGGAUUACUUUAAGC